CGUGUGCCAAGCACGGAAUGCCCCCUACUACUCUACCCCCACUUUCUCUCUCCCGGCCCGCGGCAUGUGCGCUUCGCUUGUGUGAGUGUGACGUCAGUGAGUGCGUCACACAAUGCCGGGAUUUCCUUUCCUACCGGUGCGUAGUAGUGACGUAGUGACCUUGUUGUUAUUCGCGGUCAGUCACACGACGACACUCGAGCCGGCGAGUUGAGAUAUAAGACGCUUCAUAUGUAAUGUAUAUUAUUUGUUAAAAUAUAAUUGCGAGACUAUCGAGAAACGUUGCAAUACGAUAAAAUGCGCGUAGCGAUUGACUUGAAGUGCGUGUAUCGCGUGAAGUGUGAAGUGUCGGUAAUUGUAUCAUAUUUAAAUGGUUAGCUUAGGUAAAGUUAAUUGCGUGCAGUUGUAUUAAUUACGUUUUCGCGAGUAAUUAAUUAUGUUUUCGCGAGUGAGUGCCACGAAAAAGCAGCAGAAGGAAACAGGAGAAGCGGACUUCGGAGGGCAUCGGACGAUGGUGAAGUAAUUGUGAAAUAUAAGAUAUGCUAUGCGUCAGGGCACCGGAAACGGAGGUCCGCGCAGAAGAUGACGGGGUUAAGUAGAUAAGGGAAACGGAGCCUGGUUGCCAUCGACGGCGGACGAUUUCCUCGGCUCCUCUCUUUCUCAUCGCCGCGCACAAUGCUCUACCAUCGCGCCCUUGUCGUUCUCUUCGCUGUCAACGUGCCAAUCGUGACGGGAUUAGAGCCAGACUUCGCUUACCCGCUGGAGAACGUAACGAUCCCGCAGGGUCGAGACGCUACUUUCACCUGCGUGGUGAAGAACCUCGGUGGAUACCGGGUGAGUCCUUCCUCCUCCGUGAGCGGAGAUCACUCUGGCAGCGCCAAGGCCCGGGUGGCAUGGAUCAAAGCGGACACCAAGGCGAUCCUAGCGAUUCAUGAGCACGUGAUCACAAACAACGCCCGUCUGUCGGUGACUCACAGCGAUUACAACACGUGGACGUUAAACAUUCGCGCAGCACGUCGAGAAGAUCGCGGGAUUUAUAUGUGCCAGGUCAACACGGAUCCCAUGAAGAGCCAGAGCGCGUUUUUGGAAGUGGUAAUACCACCAGACAUAAUCUCGGAAGAGACUUCGAAUGACAUGAUGGUACCCGAGGGAGGUUCCGCCAAGCUGGUGUGCAAAGCGCGUGGUUAUCCCAAACCUGAUAUCGUGUGGAAACGAGAAGACGGCACCGAAAUCAUUUCGCGGGCUAGCCUUACUGGCGGCAAGACAAAAAUACCUACUGCAGGAGGCGAAACGCUGACUUUGUCGAAAGUAACGAGGGGCGAGAUGGGCGCCUACCUGUGCAUCGCCAGCAACGGAGUACCCCCGUCAGUCAGCAAACGAAUGAUGCUGCACGUGCAUUUUCACCCGAUGGUCCAGGUACCGAACCAGCUGGUCGGGGCUCCUAUCGGAACUAACGUCACGUUGGUCUGUCACGUGGAAGCGUCACCUAAGGCCAUUAAUUACUGGACUCGAGAAUCAGACGAAAUGAUAAUCAGCAACAGUAAGUACGCGAUGUCCGAGAUAAAAACAUCCGUAUACAGCGUGCAAAUGCGACUAGUGAUCAUGAAUCUGCAGAAGCACGAUCUGGGUGGCUACAAGUGCAUCUCGAAAAACUCCAUCGGUGAUGCCGAGGGAAACAUCCGACUUUAUGACAUGGAGUUGCCUAAACAUUCCAAAAAAACGGGUGACCGGCGAUCGGAGGAUGAUGCGGGCGAUUUGAUCGUCGAUCGCGAUCACAGACUGAAUCACGUGCAUCAGGGCCCAUUGAGGGAAACGGGAUCUACGCUAGAACCGGCUUUCGACGAGGACGACAAUUCGACAUCCACCACGUCGAAACAGAACGCAUCGCUCGUGAUCAUCGCCAUCAUCCUAGUCGCGCUGCAUCAUCUGCUCGCUUCGACGCUGAGCAAGAGGCCGUGUCUAUCGAUAUCAUUGUAAAUGGAUAUCCAUAGAGACGAUCGCAUCAAAGAUGACCCGGACACGAAGUAAUUUUCCGGAAUUCAAGCUGAUGUGCAGGCUCAGAGAACAAGGAUGAUCCCUUUAAAGACCGAAGACUUCCGGUUUAGGUCACAGGGUCAUAAAUAAUCGUAAUUCCAUGCGAGCCCAGCUGCGGUUUUAUCGGAGCGAGAGUGCACGGCGUUCUGCCAAGCAAAGUCCAUCGAAGCUUAAGUGCCCACCACCAGGUAAACGAUCUCAGAGUAACGUGAAGCUUGGGCGUAACAUUGCGACCGCCUGAGAUGCACGCUUUUUCAUCGCAACAAAUAAUUACAUUA